rnacentral:pre_miRNA from 2 species
UGGGUCUUUGCGGGCAAGAUGAGGGUGUUGGUUCAACUGGCCUACAAAGUCCCAGU